rnacentral:rRNA from 1 species
AGUGAACGCUGGCGGUAGGCCUAACACAUGCCAGUCGAACGGCAGCACAGUAAGAGCUUGCUCUUACGGGUGGCGAGUGGCGGACGGGUGAGGAAUACAUCGGAAUCUACUUUUUCGUGGGGGAUAACGUAGGGAAACUUACGCUAAUACCGCAUACGACCUACGGGUGAAAUCAGGGGAUCUUCGGACCUUGCGCGAUUGAAUGAGCCGAUGUCGGAUUAGCUAGUUGGCGGGGUAAAGGCCCACCAAGGCGACGAUCCGUAGCUGGUCUGAGAGGAUGAUCGGCCACACUGGAAAUGGAACACGGUCCAGACUCCUACGGGGGGCAGCAGUGGGGAAUAUUGGGCAAUGGGCGAAAGCCUGAUCCAGCCAUACCGCGUGGGUGAAGAAGGCCUUCGGGUUGUAAAGCCCUUUUGUUGGGAAAGAAAAGCAGCAGGUUAAAACCCCGCUGUUUUGACGGUACCCAAAGAAUAAGCACCGGCUAACUUCGUG